AACGAACGCUGGCGGCAUGCCUAACACAUGCAAGUCGAACGAGACCUUCGGGUCUAGUGGCGCACGGGUGCGUAACGCGUGGGAACCUGCCUUUAGGUUCGGAAUAACUCAGAGAAAUUUGAGCUAAUACCGGAUGAUGUCUUCGGACCAAAGAUUUAUCGCCUUUAGAUGGGCCCGCGUUGGAUUAGCUAGUUGGUGGGGUAAAGGCCUACCAAGGCGACGAUCCAUAGCUGAUCUGAGAGGAUGAUCAGCCACACUGGGACUGAGACACGGCCCAGACUCCUACGGGAGGCAGCAGUGGGGAAUAUUGGACAAUGGGCGAAAGCCUGAUCCAGCAAUGCCGCGUGAGUGAUGAAGGCCUUAGGGUUGUAAAGCUCUUUUACCCGAGAUGAUAAUGACAGUAUCGGGAGAAUAAGCUCCGGCUAACUCCGUG
rnacentral:rRNA from 1 species